rnacentral:tRNA from 4 species
GCGAGUGUAGUUCAGUUGGCUAGAACGUCUCCUUGCCAAGGAGAAGGUCGCCGGUUCGAAUCCGGUCACUCGCUCCA